rnacentral:rRNA from 1 species
AUUGAACGCUGGCGGCAGGCCUAACACAUGCAAGUCGAGCGGAUGAGGGAAGCUUGCUUCCUGAUUUAGCGGCGGACGGGUGAGUAAUGCCUAGGAAUCUGCCUAUUAGUGGGGGAUAACGUUCCGAAAGGAACGCUAAUACCGCAUACGUCCUACGGGAGAAAGUGGGGGAUCUUCGGACCUCACGCUAAUAGAUGAGCCUAGGUCGGAUCAGCUAGUUGGUGAGGUAACGGCUCACCAAGGCGACGAUCCGUAGCUGGUCUGAGAGGAUGAUCAGCCACACUGGAACUGAGACACGGUCCAGACUCCUACGGGAGGCAGCAGUGGGGAAUAUUGGACAAUGGGCGAAAGCCCGAUCCAGCCAUGCCGCGUGUGUGAAGAAGGUCUUCGGAUUGUAAAGCACUUUAAGUUGGGAGGAAGGGCUGUAAGCUAAUAUCUUGCAGCUUUGACGUUACCAACAGAAUAAGCACCGGCUAACUCUGUGCCAGCAGCCGCCGUAAUAC